rnacentral:lncRNA from 1 species
GAUUUCAAAGAAAUGAUGAAAUCCACAAUGCUAGGGGUAUGUAAUAAUGUGUCAGACUUUUGCCACACAUACUCCUUACUUCCAAAAUUACAAUUUCUAUGGCUGUAAACUGUUACUGUAGAAUUAUUAUUUUGAAGACCUUUUAAUUAUUCCCAAUAAUGUUAUUUUCUUUUGGGCAUAAGCAAACAAACUGCUUCACCUUCCUACUUAGUUAAUCUACUGCUCUGAAACCUGCAGUAGAGGAUCCCCAGAGUGUCAAGUGUAAUGAGUGUUACCAUAAACAUGUAACAGCUGAUUAAUCAGUUUUCUUAAUAAUCACUUGCUUUCCCCUACAAGCACAGUGUUAAAAAACAAGUAGCCUCAGAACACUGGUUUCAGUUUGCCUCUCUGAGUGCACAAAAAUUACAGUUCAAAUCACUCACAAAGCAUUCACUCUGGAAGAGGUGGAUGCUGGUUUUGCUUUGACUUUCCUUAUGUGUUUUCCAGUAAAUUGCAUGAUUUAAAUAUGUCUACAGCUCCUUGUGAAAGAAGACUGCAUGCGAUAAACAUCACCAUGUCUCAAAAAUCUAAUCACACACACCAUUGAACAUUCACAUCAAUUUUAUUCAGAGCCCUUGACCCAUUUCCUUCAAAUCUGUUGACCUCUUCUCCUUUUGCACAAACUUUCUCCACACAGCUCUCCUUGGAUGUCUAUGGCUAGCCUCAUCCUUGAUGCAAUUCUGAAAGGUUAAUAUUUAAUUUUUAGCUCCCAUCAUUCCCUAGUUGGCCAGUUACCCAAUCAUAAAGUUAUCUGAGGCCUGUUGAGAGGAUGAUGUGAAGACAAUGGAUGCUGACCUUCCUCUUGGGAUAGCAUCUGCACCAAGACCUGACAGAAGAGAACAGCUCUGGAGGGCCAGACCCCUGGACCGCACCAAGGGAGACAUUGAACAGCACCAGGACCCCAACCUCCCACAGACAAGGACUGCCAGAGCCCCUCCAAGGGCAACACUUCUUACUUCUUCCUCCAUCAAUUCCAUUCCUUCAGGACAGCACCUGCCACACACCUUCAGGGCUGAAAAUAAGCCUCACAUCCAAGGACCCAGGCCUGCCACACACCAUCACCCCCAAACACAAGGGGCUUUUGUCCCCUGGCACCCACUCCAUAAACUCCAUCGCAGGAGUAGCACACACAGCUCAGGGACCAAAGGACACUCACCUCGCUCCACAGAGGCACCAGAGUCGCUUUAGCCCUGAAGCCACAGGAAGCAUUCCAGGAACUGAUUCCAAGGGGCUGCCAGGGUGGGCAGCCCUCGGGUUGGAGGAUGGUCACUCCUGGGCCCCCAUCACUCACCUCCUUCAUCCCACUGAAGAUGUAAUCCUUGCUGCAGCCCUCACCCUGCAACAAGACGAGAAUUACCAAGCAGUGGGGAUUGGAGAGGCCCCUCUAGACAUCAUCCCUUCCCACUCUCUAGCUAAAGCAGCUUGUUUCAGAUUUUUACAUCUCAUUUAAAGUUGUCAGUGCUGCAAGAGUUCUACUCCUUUCUAAAACAUUUUUUUAAUCCUGAGAAGUGUUAGGCUGAUAGCAAGAAAAGUUCAUGCCUUCUCUGCAUAAGCAGCUGUCUGGCAUAUGAAUAGACUAUUUAUAUAGGUAUGUCACGUACAUUCCAUCAUACCUAUAUAUGACAUUGGCUAUCGGUUAUUAUAAGAGUAGAAACAAAUAUGUUUACUCUCUUUAUUUGGGGUGUACUGGAAUGUACAUUCUACUGUUUGUUACACUGGAAUAGGCUUUGCCGGCUUCUCUGCUUCCGUGCUUUCCUGGAAUCUCUUGUUCAGCUGCAUUGACUGUUCAGCUUUUCAGAAAAUGGAAUGCUUUGGGUUAGGAUUUGAGUUCAAGGAACUGAGCCUUUACACAGGCUUGAAAUAAGAAAUAACCAUAACCUGGUGAAAGACGUGUUUUGUUAAAAUCUCACUAAAGAUUUUAGAAACUGUGUAGGAAGAAGAAGAGAGUAGGUGCUGGUUGAGGCUAGGAAAAGAGUAGAUGCAGCCACGUUUGUUUCUCAUCUUAGGGGCAGCAGGGCUAGCCCCUCACACCUCCAUAAACACAAGUGGAAUCUUCAGAGUUACUGUUUUCCUUUUAGUUUAAUGGUGGCCAUAACAGCCAUAUGCCAUCACCAGAUCAUGCUGCACUUGAGAAAUGGUGAGUCUUUGUGGAGAAGGAUUGGUACGCACUAAAAAGCAUCAGACUCCACUUUAUCCAGCAAUAGCUUCUUGCAGUCACAAUGGAGAAAACAAAAUUAAGGUAUAAUAGAAUAAUGCUUUUUUAAAGUUGAGUCUCAUAUUCAAAAUUGAUCUUGAAUGAUAUAAAGGAUUCUUGAUCACACCCCAACAACCUACAUUAUUAAAAAGCAAAACCUUUUAAGUUGAAAAUAUUUUCUAAAUGUCAUCUUUAGCAAAGGUGACUGAAAGAACCAGGCUUUUUCGUCACUUGGAAAUAACAGAUGAAGUGUAUACUGUCUCCUAAAAUAAGAUUUUAAUAACAUACUGGUAACAGGAAAAAAAUUGGUACAUUGAUCAUGGAGUUCCCAGGAUGUCUAAGUGUUCUGGGAUCUCUGCUGCCCGCUGCUGUACUUGUUCCCUUAAAGUGUAUCUGACUAUUAAAAAGAAAUAACGAAACAAAACAAAAACAACAUACAAAAAACAUCAAAACCAAAACACCAGGGUUUGCUAUAUAAGUAAUGACAGAUAUAACACCUCUGUUUAUUUUUAAACAGCUACUAAUUUAAAUAAUUUACUGCAUUUUUAUCCAUCAGAUGAUCUUUUUACCAUGAAGUAUAUGACCAGCACUGUCAUUCAUUGAAGUUCAGAGAAUUCAGAAGUAAUGACUGAUAUUCAAACGCUGUGUAGUUAUUGUAGAAAGGUUGUAUUAGUCUGAAGCUCCCUAGUCGUGUAAUUUUCUUGUUAAGCAUUAAUGACCCAUUGAGAUAGCUUAUGAUGAUGCCUCCAUUUCAUGAAAUGCUUGUUCUCAUGUGAAUAUAUUUGUUUAGCUGAUUGUUGUGAUUAUUCAUUGAUUCCACAAUUACUUUUUUUUUAUGUUUAUUCAGUGCUAGAUGUAUUUUGACAUGAUCAAACGUAUGAGAAAAUUAUUGCUUGACUGUAUGCGUGUAAAUGUACCAAAGCUGUGUGACCUUCAUCCUAGCACUAAAUGUUGUGAAGCUUUCAGUGUUGAUACAUUUUACAAAUGAUUCCAUCCAAAUUAGAUAGCCGUUAGGUACUUAUCAGCAAAGAGAAAGGAAAGAAGAGUUGUUUUCCUGCGUGAUCUCAGUGAUACAACCCAGUUUUCCUGAGUGAUAAAGUCAGGAAAUUUUUUUUAAUAGAGCAUUGGCUUUCCUAAGCCCUCACAUAACAUUGAAAGUAUAUUUAUAUUGCCAAUAGAUGGCAGCAUCGCUCUUCAGCAGAGUUCUGUAAGCUAUUUAAUGAUUAAUGUUGAUGUAAAUUACUUCAGCAGAAAAUUGUUGUCUCAGUAAAUGUUGUUCUGCUACAUUUUUUCCAAGUUCUUUACCUAUUUUUGCUAUAAAAUAGUGGUAUAUAAUAGUGUAUAGAGUGGCUACACUCUACACUCUACAAUAGGUUGUAGUGUAGCACAUCUUUGCUUGGAAAAGACCUGCUUCUCAAAAAAAGUGUUCUACCUUCUGGCAUAGUUCUCUAUGCAUUAAUUUCCAUCAUACAUAUAAUCUCUGUUUUCUGUCUGAGCCUGGAUUUAGUUUUCUUAGUGUUUUCAGUUUCAGAAGGGGCAUGUUCCCCAUCUCCUACUAUCUGAAUUAUAUUGAUACGCAGAGUAGAGCCUAGUAGAUGAUUAGUCCUGACCUCACCAGUCCUAGGCUCUCCUUUUUUUGUUGUCAUCCUAAUUAUUCAUUUGCAAUACCUAUGUUGUUGGUUGGGCUGGGUUUUUUGUUUGUUUGUUGUUUGUUUUUUAUAUUUGUUUUAAUUACUGUUAAUUGAGGUAUUUGAGUACUUUUGUAUGACUGGCUAUUAUAGGUGAAAACAUAUUGCCUGCUUGUAAGCUUACUGUGAAGGCUGAUACAUGGAGUGGAAAACAUGAUAGAUAAUCUUCUCUGUCAGCCUUAGAGCAUCUGUAUUUGUCAGCCUUUCCAUUCAGGAAGGAGAGGCCUGCAUACUCUGUCACUUUCCUGUUGCCUUUGAUCAGAAAUUUAUCUUGACUCCUGACAGCAAGGAAAUCUUUCUUGUUGCAAGUUUUGUUGAAAGCAGUGUUGAAAGCAGAAAUGGUCAACUUGAUUGACUUCUUGAGGUUCAGCAGAUUACAGGUUUUGUUCCUUUGUUAAUAUUAUUUAUUAAAAUAUUAAAUUUUCAUAUUAAGGUAUUCAUAUGUAUUCUGGAGUAACUGUGGGAAGCUCUAGAGCCAGUGUCCAUAUCGUGUUUUAUACUUCUGCUGUAGAAGACUCAUAAUUUAUCCAUUAAUAUAAUUGAUAUUUCUGAAAGAAUUAAACCAGUAGGAAGGUGAACUUUUCAAAUUUCACUUGCCAUUAUGGUAUCGGUGUAUCGGUGUAUUUGUCUAUCAGUUUAUAUGGUCAUCUGUUGUUUCUUUUCUUCCAUCCUAAGGGGCAAGCGUGCAGUAUCAUUUUAGCGAGUAGGAUUUUGUUGUUUUGAUUGCAUGAUUGUUUCAGUUUGAUAAGUAUGUGCUAGAGACAACAUCAAUAAGAUGUGUCUUGCAUUUGGAGCAGAGAGUGAUGAUGUUUCUGAUCACGUCCUCUUGGUGAUUGUUUGAGGAUGUUAAAAGUUAGUGGAAAAUAUUGUUCCUUGUAGUUUCUCAGAAAUGAGUGAGCUAUCAGUGAAAAUGCAGUUUGCUGUACACAAAAUUUCUAAAAUGGAUAUUAAAUAUCUUUGAAAAAUGAACUGAUGAUCCCCCUUUUUAAUCCUGUCAUAUAUCAUUUGUCAUGGCAAUACCCACAGAAAACACAGUUGCUCCUUUUACAUCAAAUAAAGAACCAUGAAGAACUCAGAAUUGUUAUUUUAAAAUAAAUAAAUAAAUAAAUAAUUUUGUGGAUUGUGUUACUUUUGGAGUACUAAGAAUCCAGUUUAAUCUUAUUUUUUUUCCAUCCUUAGCUA